rnacentral:rRNA from 1 species
AGUCCACAUUUUAUUAUAAGCAUAUGAGGAGCGUCUGUUGAAUACCUACAUAAGAUAAUGCUAAGAUUUAUAUCGAUGUAUAUUAUCUGAUACCUGUUCAGUGGCCAAAAGCUCAACAACAAGGAUCUCUUUCAAAGUAAGAAUUGAUUAUCUAAAUAAUGAUCAUGCGAAUGGUACAACGACUUCUCUAUUGUCUCCACUAAGUGCCCUAUGAAAUAGACAUGGCUUUGAAUAGGAAGUCUGAUAUACUGUGACGGUAAGACCCUGUGCACCUUUACUUUCCCUAAAAAGAGUUUUGC